rnacentral:rRNA from 1 species
CAAUAGCGUAUAUUUAAGUUGUUGCAGUUAAAAAGCUCGUAGUUGGAUUUCGGGUGGGACGCAGCGGUCUCGCAUUGCGUUUGUACUGCUGCAGCCCUCCUUCUUGCCGGGGGCGGCCUCUCGGACUUCACUGUCUGGGGGUCAGAAUCGGCGAUGUUACUUUGAGUAAAUUAGAGUGUUCAAAGCAAGCUUACGCUCUGAAUAUAAUAGCAUGGGAUAACACGACAGGACUCUGGCCUAUCGUGUUGGUCUAUAGGACCAGAGUAAUGAUUAAGAGGGACAGUCGGGGGCAUUCGUAGUCCGUUGUCAGAGGUGAAAUUCUUGGAUUUACGGAAGACGAACAUCUGCGAAAGCAUUUGCCAAGGAUGUUUUCAUUGA